rnacentral:rRNA from 1 species
GAGUUUGAUCCUGGCUCAGGACGAACGCUGGCGGCGUGCUUAAUACAUGCAAGUCAACUGAACUUAAGGUAGUAAUACUUUAAGGGAGGUGGCGCACGGGUGAGUAACACGUAGGUAAUCUGCCUUUAGGUCUGGCAUAACCACGAGAAAUCGUGGCUAAUUUCAGAUGAUGCAGCGGCUCGACAUCGAGACAGUUGUUAAAUCUUCGGAGCCUAAAGAUGAGCCUGCGUCUGAUUAGGUAGUUGGCGGAGUAAAAGCCCACCAAGCCUGCGAUCAGUAGCUGGUCUGAGAGGAUGAUCAGCCACACUGGAACUGAGACACGGUCCAGACUCCUACGGGAGGCAGCAGUAAGGAAUAUUGCUCAAUGGCCGAAAGGCUUAAGUAGCAUCGCCSCGUGGAUGAUU